GCGAAGCUAUUGUGGAGCGGUGAAAGGCUCAGUAACGGGCGAUUUAUUUAGUCUUCUGGGACGGACAACACCGGGAAACUGGUGGGAAAACGUCUAAGCUGCGAAUCACGCUAUGUGGUUGUGGCAGAAACUGUUAUGCAAAAGUAAGAUGCCUCCUAUCAGUUAGUAAGUAGGGUAAGGGCCUACUUAACAAACGGGUACGGGGAAGAGGGUUUGAUUCCGGAAGGGAGCCUGAAGACGGUACCAGGACCAAGGUCAGCAGCAGGCGCAAAAUUAUCAACCCGCCUAGGGGCGAUAGGAGGAACGUGAAUUUUAGUGCGGUAAAGAACGCACUACAACUGGAGGUCAAGUCUGGGCCAGCAUCCGCGGUAAUUCCAGCUCCGGGGUGUCUAUAUGAUUGCUGCAUUAAAAAGUCCGUAUCAAGCCGCCAACCAGUCUGGAAUGUUUCUUGAUCAAAACAGCAGGGUGGGAAAGCGAAAUUAGGAGCGACCGAGGGCUAAGUAUUGGGGGCAGAGGUGAAAUUUGAUGACCCAUCCAGGAUGACAAAGGCGAAGGCCUAUCAAGGGCAUCCAUGAUCAAGGACAGGCUAAGUUUCAAAACAUAAGACCGAUAUUCUAGCAGUAAACUAUGCCAACCCGUGAUAUGAUUUUGUUGUAUUGCGAAAAAAUCAAGUAAGGUUUGGGGGAAGUACCGCGCAAGCCAUAAAUUUUAAGGAAUUUGACGGAGGAACCCCAAGGAGGAGGGGGGGCUAAUUUUACCUC
rnacentral:rRNA from 1 species